AUUUCUGCUCUGAGGGCUGUGUUGCUUAAACUUAAGAAGUCAUAAUGAAAGAAGAGUGGAAGGGAAUAGUUCAACAUUCAAAGGUUUGUUUUCUCUGGAUGAGAAGGUAGAAGAAUGACUGUUUACCUCAAGCACACCUGGAUUUUCUAGGGAUCACCAGAUUUACCUAGAAUUCAAGGAGAACAAACUAAAAACUCGUUGAACUUAGAUAAAGAAAAUGAUGAUGAAACCACCCUCAGAAUCCAAAAACUGGAAUGGGUCAGCCUUCACGUGUGUCAGUUAAUGCAUCUGUCAUGCUGUGGUCAGAGAUCCUACAGGCAUAAUACCGAAGAUGAACACUACUGUGGAAAUGGCAGAACGACUGACUACUGACUGUAUCAAGUCUAAGCACACUGACCUAACAGUGGCUAACAUGGGCAGAAGAAAUGCAACAACUUCCCUCACUUAAAAUGCUCCAGAUGAUGGAUCAUGAAGAACAGCAAUUAUGAAAGUCAUUCUUACAAGAACUCAGCAGAAGGUCCUGGUACAAUAUCAGCUAAGGUCUGUGUAAGAGCAAUGUGACGGCUCAGAGUAAAUAUCUCCUGGUUUGAAGGUAUGCGAUGCCACAGUUCCACUUCUGGCUUGGCUGCACGCAUCCUACGUGACCUUGGCACACAAUAAAUUAUCACUGAAUUAUCCCUGACACUGAACAUAAGUGGAAUUCAAUCAAGUUCCAACUUUAAACAUCAGGCCUGAGGAGACUUCUUAAAUACAAGCCAGAGCCUUUUUACAACAUGUUAUGUUGGUGACUGGAUAGUUCCGGGGGCUAAUGAGGAGACAGAAGAUCACAGUGAACCCAGUGACCAUUUCAAAUCCAAGGAAAGAAAAGGACGUAUUGAAAAAAAGAGAGAAAGACAAAGAGGAAAGCGUGCUUCUGGAUUUUGCAAAUAUCUCUAAACGUCACUACAAGAUUUUACCUGCACGCUCACCAAUUUCAUGUUAGGCAUGGUCAGUGCCACUCUGGGUAGAGCCGUCUUUCUGCCUCCCAAGCACCCGCUCAGGAAGAGAUCUUAAAACACAUUGUUUCAUGUAAAAAACAUUCAGUUUUUUUGCUUCCGGAAGCUGAUGUAGAAGGACAGCGCUGCUCUUCCUUAGUUUACAGACCAGUUUGGCCACACAGCUUGCUAGGACUGUGCACAGGAAGGAGGGGGCCCAUAUAGAGGAGGGGUCAGGCUGCUUGUGACACAGAGGAUCAGCAUGCACAUGACUGAAGAGGAGGAAAAGGAAAACACUGCCAUAAAAGUGACAGUAGAGAUGAAGAAUUGUCGUGAAUGUGUAAUGCACCACUGAAAAGAUGCAGGAGAAAACAUACCAAGCUGGAAGUCUUAUCAUAUCUGGAGUCUCACUAUUCCAAAGCAGGAAUUAAUUUAAAGAGAAGAAGCUGCUGCUCUUGUUGGCUGACAUCGCUUGUUCGUAAACACAGGAAAGAAAAACACUAAAGUGAUAUGGUUACCAUAAUUACUAUCUUUGUUCAAAAAACAUGGUGGCUUUCUACCCUUAAUUCAGUUCAAGCAGCCAUUGCAGCUAGUACCAGCCAGGAGCAAAUGCCACACACUGCAGCUACUCUGACAGCAAAUGCAGUAAAUCUUGCACUUCAGAUGCACCAUACAGGAUGUCAAGGUGUACUACAGACACAGGAGCACAGAAGUAUUAUCUAGUGUUGCUGUUACAAUGAAUUAGUGUGUAGCUAACCAAGAAUACAUUGCCAAACCAAGCCUGGCAAAUGCAUGCCACUCCAAUAGCAAAGAAAAACCAUGGGGUGAUGAUUCUAAACAUGGGGUUUCUGUGAAGGCUCAAGCUUAGCAUGUAAUUAUUUGAGCCCUGUUUGGAGGUCGUGCUGUGGCACUAGGUUGGAAAUUGGCAGGUCAAAGAAAUAAUUAGGAUUGUUUUAAGCCAAAGUCAUCACCAAAUGCAAUAUUGCUGUGUAAAAGGGAUAUCAAAUCAGGGUAAUCAAUCCCAGCCCUGUCAGCUUCUUGUCUUGCUGUGGCUGCCCAGGGAAUAGGCUCAGAACAAGGCUUUCCCAGCUGGAGGGGGCAGUGAAGCCCUGGUUAAACAGGUAUCUGUUUGGUUUUGGAUAAAGCUUAAAGCAAAGCUGGUUAAAUGACUUGCUGAGUUGAUGAAACCUUGCAGUUCUGGUUGCUGGUCUCCUCCUUUCUCACUCUGGUUUGCUGCAGUAACUGGUCUGUCUUGGUAGAUUUGUUUGUAAAUGCUCAUUUACAGCUUACUCUAAUUUAAAAAUUGAAGGGGGGAAAGCUUUUAAGCCAAAACAGUUUUUGAACUUCUUUUGUUUAAAAAAAAAAUAAAAAAUCUUUCAUGUUUUAGGAACACAAGCCAGAGUUACUUAAAGGACCAAGUCUGGGAUGUUUGGGUUCAAGUUCUGAUUCCCAAUGCAUCUCUACUUUCCUACUCUCUACUCCUGAUUCCCCAUUUUUUUCAUUGUAUCCUUGAAAAGGAAGGGAAUGAAAAGGAAAAUAAAUACUAGUUGCUGUCUUCUCCUCUGAACGUGUGAGAUAGUGGGGAUUGUUUUUGAAAAUUUUCAAAAGAAGUGUUAGUUUUGGCUGUAUACUUUUCCAUGGUUUUUCACAUUGCUCACUUACCAGAAGGUUAAUAUUUGGAUAACCCGGGAAUGAGAGGACAUGGGUCUGUUCUUGUAGAAUUAGCUUACAGGGUGCGCUUCAUGGAAAAUAUCAAAGGAAAGCUGAAGCAUGAUUGUUUUGUGUUAGGCACAGAAAGUGAAGAGUUACUCUCUGGGCCACAAGAAGUAAGGGGUCAUUCUGCAAGUGACAGUGGAGGAAAGGGAGUUUUCUGCUUCUGUCACAGAAGGAAAAGGAUUACCGUGCAAAUGAUGCUCAAGGAGAAGGAUUAGGCUGUAUAUGACAGAGAAGAGAGGUCAUCGUACGUACGUCAUGAAAGGAGAGGGUAGCGUGACACAGAGCGGAAAGGAUCCUUUGAAAGUCACCAUGAGAGGAGAGACAAUUGUGCAAGUGAGACUGGAAGACAAGAUUUUAUAUGGGGGGAAACAAGUAAAGAAAGAAGGAAAUGUCUGUACUACUAAGCAAAGAAACACAAUUUAUUUCACAAUCAAACACUUAAAAUUUUCGGGCAAAGCCCCCAUCUCUAUGGAGUCCUGUGCCACUCCUUAGUUUAAAGGAAUACACCAUUUUCAAAAAUACUUGGAGCAAAAAUUGAAUAAUGUUAUCUCAAAAGAUACUUUGUCAUCUUGACAUCAACUCAGCACACAAGUGCUGUAGGUCUGGUGAGCUUCCAGCCCUUUCCUUCAUGGUUAGGAUUUCUAGUGUGCCAGGAAUAAGAUCGAUGGCCCUUCUAUCUACAGAGAAGCAGUGCAUGCCUAGGCAGAAGAUUUUUUUUGUUUCCUGAAUAAAAGAAAGAGAAUCCUCUUCCAUAAGAAAAGUAUGUACGAAAGAAAAAGUUUUAACUUUGGUUAUGACAGCAAGGAGAAGUGUUUCUCUCUAUUCAAGCACUGAUCCACAUUUCCAUACAGCACUGGUCAGGGUGUCCCCACUGUGGCUGUCCUUUUGUACGCUGUUAGGUAAUGGCAUGUUUGGGUGAGGGCUGUGGUGCACUGCAUUGGUUUUGUGUAAUGAGAAAGUAGAAAUAAGAUGUGAAAGUACAAAUUAUUUCCAUCUUUAUUCUGUCUUGAACCAAUAUCUGAUACAAGACUUGCUGGUUAUUUUGGGGUUGGUUUGUCUUCAUGCGAUGAUCCUGACCUCCAGUUAUAGCAUAACAUAUCGCUCUCAAAUGUAGUGCAACACUUUGUACCAGGAACCACAUUUCAGAGAAGGUGAAGCUGGGGUCAGACACAUUCCUGCUAAUUGCACUGAUUGCAGGAGAGUUAUACCAUGAUUGAAUUUGGUGUCUGAUGUUAAAGAGGGUAGCUGCUAACUGCCUUUAAGGAGGACCCAGAAAAAGGAGGCUAGACAGUAACUCCCUGCCCAAGCACAUGCACACAUGCACAGAUAAGUGUUGCUAAACUUUUGGGGGAGUGUGGUAUGUAAGGAGCGAGUCCAGGUCAAGCUAUGCAGGGGUUUGGAGGGUGAUACACAACCAAUCAGUGAUGGAAAAUGGGUUUCUGUAUGUCCAUUAAUUCUGUAGUGUUGUUACUGUGUAGACUAAAUCUAAUAUAUUGAUCUGAUUUCUUCAAAUCAGGCCUUUAAAUCAGUGAAAUGGCAUGGCCACCAGCUCAUUCCUGCAGUUACUACGGUGUUCUGACUGCUCUCAUCUUCCACAAAGUUUAUCUGCCAUUACCAUGAUCCCACUAGGCAGCAUAUAGGUUUCCUUCCUGACCUGACUUUUUUGUAUUUUUUUCCCUGUUGAUCUAUCCAUAAUCUCUCUUUGAGUUGGAAAAAUCUUACAAAUAGGGCAAGGAGAGCCACGCAAGCUCUAGUGCAUGCGGACUAUCACAGACUAGUUCUGGCUCAGUAAUAUGCGAUGUCAAGGCCAAACAAAUCCUGUCUCUCCACUAUAAUUUAUGAUUUGAUAUAUCAGGGAAAGUAUCAGUUCAUUACCCUACUAUAAUUGGGCUCCCUUUCUUCCACUUUCCCCAGAAAUCCUUGCUCCCAAAACCUUUUCUUCUCAGACAUCCAGGCUCUGAAAAUUGCCUGAGCAAUACCUCGUUUUGUAAAUGUUUCUGUUGCCUGAGUCAUCCUGUACCUUAUUGCUGAGAAGAGUGCAGUCCUGCAGAGUAAGGGGAAUUGCCUAGGGUUUAGGAAGGCUUACCAGCUUGGGCUUAAAUUCAUCAACUAAGAAACAGGACAUUCAUUUGCAUCAACCUGAGGUUGCUUGACUGGCAGAGCUCUCACUAGUGGCUACCUCAGGAGACUGAGCAAGUUGCGGUUUAUCUAGUUCUAAGAGUUAUUCUGUCUGUGCA